UACGGAGGAGGCAAGCGUUAUCCGGAAUUAUUGGGCGUAAAGCGUCCGUAGGUGGCACUUCAAGUCUGUCGUCAAAGACUUGGGCUUAACCCUGGAAAGGCGGUGGAAACUGAAGCGCUAGAGUGCGGUAGGGGUAGAGGGAAUUCCCGGUGUAGCGGUGAAAUGCGUAGAGAUCGGGAAGAACAUCGGUGGCGAAAGCGCUCUACUGGACCGCAACUGACACUCAGGGACGAAAGCUAGGGGAGCGAAUGGG
rnacentral:rRNA from 1 species